UUUUUUUUUUCUUUUUUCUUUUUUUUGGCGGUACCCAAGGUAGGGAUCGAACUUGCACCACAGCAGUGACAAUGCCAGAUCCUUAACCUACUGCACCACCACAGAAUUCCAUGGGAGGCUUUUUAAAAUCCUCAGAAUAAAGAUCAAUCCUCUAUAUAGUAGUCUAUUUAAAGAAAAAUAUACUGCCUGGUAAUCAUACUUCACAGAAAACUAAAUGAAAGGAGUUUCUCCCCUUUCUUACUAAAAUGACUAGGAUAGGAUUUCACUAAGGCUACCUUUCCUCCAUCAUCUUAUCACAUAGUUUCUAAUACAGUCCAUAAACAUAUGCUUAAAUAAUGAAGAGAUUUCUUAAAAAAAUUGGUAUUACACUUUGAACAAGGAUGAGUUUACACUAAAUAUAUGAUAAACAUGCAUAUACAAAGGUAAAAUCUGCUACUCUGUAUUCUACAAAAAUCACAGAAUUUUGUAUUUUCUAGCUGGCAACAACCUUCAUAACUGUCAUCUCUUAUUUUUUAUAUAGGGAAAUUGAAAAAAUGAUACUAAAAACUAAACUAAAUAAACAAAAACAACUUGGCAAGGCUAUUUAUAGUGAGUGAUAAAGUUGCCUUUGUUUUUGUUUUACAAAGACUUUACAAAGUCUUCUACAUCACUUGGAGGCUUCUGAGAUUCAUAGUUUAAAAAAAAAGUCACUUGAGUCAGGAUUCGUGGUUUGCUCUCAAGGACUGAUUUGCCACACAAACAAAAAAAUGUUCCUCUGUAGAUGUAUAGAUACCUCAGUGGAGUUAUUUUAUCAAAGCACUUGUGGUGCGCCUCCCUAUAUACACUAAGUCAAGUGGUCUAAGGCCAAUUCUUUGGAAAGAUUUUUGAAGUGUCCUGACUUUCAUAUCCCCGAGGUCACUUCUUUACUGUUCUUGUGACAGCCUUGUAAGAGUCCACAGUUAUGAGCAUAUGUGGGAGACAUACAUGUGACUGCCAGCCUUACUCACCAGACAGAAAUUUGAAGACAUUCAAAAUAGAAUCUAUAAAUGCAUAUUUAACUAAUCAGGUUUAUUUGAAAAUCCUGUUUAUAAGUCACUUAAACAUUUAAGAUUUAGACUUCAGGAAGAUAUGAUGGUUUUUAUAUUAUUAGUUUCUUCUAAGAGUUAGUUUCUAGGACUCUUUUUGAUGUGUCAGGUUAUGUCCAGGAAAAAAGUCACGUUAAAGAUAAAUAAAAAUAGGAAUUGAACUUUCUAUUUUUGUAAGGACUCGAAGUAAAAAAAAUUGUAAAGAUGAUGCUUACAGUCAAAAUAAAAUGCCAAUUUAUUUAUUUAUUCAUUAACAAGAAGGAUAAUGCUAAUAUCCAUCUUUUUUUUUUUUUUUUUUUUUCGCUGUACAGCAUGGGGACCAAGUUACUCAUACAUGUAUAUAUACCUUUUCCUCCCAUUGUUGUGUUGCGAUGUAAGUAUCUAGACAUAGUUCUCAAUGCUACACAGCAGGAUCUCGUAAAUCCAUUCCAAGAGCAAUAGUUUGCAUCCAUUAACCCCAAGCUCCUGAUCUCUCCCACUCUCUCCCUCUCCCCUCAGGCAGCUACAAGUCUAUUCUCCAAGUCCAUGAUUUUCUUUUCUGUGGAAAGCUUCAUUUGUGCCUUAUAUUAGAUUCCAGAUAUAAGUGAUAUCAUAUGGUAUUUUUCCUUCUCUUUCUGACUUAUUUCACUCAGUAUGAGAGUAGUCUCUAGUUCCAUCCAUGUUGCUGCAAAUGGCAUUAUGUCAUUCUUCUUUAUGGCUGAGUAUAUUCUAUAGUGUAUAUAUACCACAUCUUCGUAAUCCAAUCGUCUGUCGAUGGACAUUUGGGUUGUUUCCAUGUCUUGGCUAUUGUGAAUAGUGCUGCAAUGAACCUGCAGGUGCAUGUGUCUUUUUUAAGGAAAUAUUUGCCUGGAUAUAUGCCCAGAGUGGGAUUGCUGGGUCAUAUGGGAGUUCUAUGUAUAGAUUUCUAAGGUACCCCCAUACUGUUUUCCAUACUGUGCCAGCUUACAUUCCUACCAACUGUGCAGGAGGGUUCCUUUUUCUCCACACCCCCUCCAGCUCUUGUUAUUUGUGGACUUAUUAAUAUCCAUCUUAAUACUAAGACAAAGCUUAAGAGAUGGGGCUAGCAGUUUCUUAGCUUAUUGCUGGAAGAUUCCAAUGGAAUGGAAGGGUAGGGUUUAGUAUGCAGAUGCUGCAUGAGGACUGGGGCACAUGUUCACUAGCUCCUGCCAGCUAGUCCUGGAGUGGGAUCCUGGGGGAAUUAACUAACAAGGCCUUUGGCAUGUAUUUCCUUCUUCUUUUGUAUAAACUUAACAGUGUGAAUGGAGCAACUAGUUUAUUUUCAAGAGUAUGCAUUGCUAGAUUUCUACUUCCAUAAAUACUUAAUAUCCUAGUCCUUUAUAUUUACAUUUCUUUGAAAAUCCUUCUGUUUACUUGCUUCAAAAUCAGUAUUACAUUUUAGAGUAACAUUUUUAUGUAUAUAUUUUUACAUAGCACCAUUUAAUAAAAAUGAAUGUGCCGUAGAGACAAAAACCGAAGAAAAACAAAAAGAAAGACAGAAGACACACAUGUAGGAGGAAAAAGGAAGAGUGGAAAUCAUUAAGCCACCCACCUAUCCUUCAAAGUCGGUGUGGUAGCUGGAGAAAUUGCAAAUUUUAAAUGAGGCUAACUCAUUUUGCUGAAAAGAGAAUACAUCUACCCGUUAUCGAGAAGUGAAAUUUAACUUCCUUAGUUUCAAUAAUUCACCAUUGUGAAAUAUAUUCCUUAGUAUUACAUUAAAAAAUAAUGAAGAAAAAUGAGUAUAGUUUUAAAAGCUUUUUAAAUCUGGUUUCCAUGCUUAUUCUAUUACUGCGUUCCAGUAAGUAGACUUGAAUAUCUCAUCUUCUAUGACUAUUUUUUUUCUUUACUGUAGAAACAGAAAAAUAGAUUUUAUGAUAGAUCGUCCUCCAAAGAAUGUUCCUUUUGAUUGAGUUUUCUCUUUUUGGUAUUGUUAGACAAAAGGAUAAUAGCAAUUAGAGGAAUGUGGGCUAAUCUAACAAAAAAAUUCUAUUCUUAAUUAUAUCAGUUCUUUAUGUUUUCCUCUUAUCUAUGAUAGAAGAUCUUAAUAUAAUAGCCAAAGUAUCAAAGCAUUUGGAUUGUAACAUUCCUGACCUGAGUUAUAAGUAUGUUUGAUUGAAAAGGCCAAAUUUUAAAAAAUGCGUGAUAAAAUUAGGCCAUACUAUCCAGAAACUGCCCAGAAAUCAUAUAAUCUGUUUCUGGAUAUCAUAUUCAAUUGUUAUAUGAGGUUGUAUAAUGUAAACAAGAAAUAACGUAUUUUUGUCUUGCGACAUCAAUUCUGAAAAGAAAUCUGAGAGUACAAGACUAUAGAAAGAACAUGAACUAUUGGCCCAAAUCUGUGCAUUGUCUCACUGGGGCUCCUGAAAACCCAAAGUAACUGCUCCAUUAAAGUAAGAAUAGAUCACGGUUAAUGCAUCAAAGGGAAUCUGGUAAAUGUGUUGUUAUUAAAAACAAGCCAAGGAGGCGUUCCCAUCGUGACACAGUGGAAAGGAAUCCGAGUAGUAUGAGGAUAUGGUUUCUAUCCCUGCCCUUGCUCAGUGGGUUGAGGAUCUGGUGUUGCAGUGAGCUGUGGUGUAGAUCUCAGACUAGGCUUGGAUUCUGAGUUGCUCAGGCUGUGGUGUACGCCAGUAGCUGCAGCUCCACUUCCACCCCUAGCCUGGGAACCUCCAUAUGCUGCGGGUGCGGGCUUAAAAAACAAGCGAAGAAAACAAGAGUAACUUUGUUAUACUUGUGAUGGACAUAUAUUGUUCCAUUACAUAGUAAAAUAAAUAUAUAAUAAGAGGUGAAACAAUUUAUUUGAUAGAUGGUAGAGUUGCUAUAAUAAUUAGAGCUUCAUAAAAGUGGGCCAAAAUAAACAUAACUUAUGUUAAAUCCAACCUAAACUUUGGGUGUUUUCUGCCAUUAGCAUAUGAUAUAUUAAUUAUCCUUGCAAAAUAAAUAAAGAAGAAAGAAAAACAAAUUUUAAAAAACAGAGCCAUAUUUAAAGCUUAAAUAAAACUGGUGUGUUUCUGAGAGCCUCAUAAAUGAAUUACUGCCAAGAAAACGCUUUAUUGAGUUGCUGUUCUUUCCCUAAGGUUGUGUUUGAAUGGAAAAAAAAAAAAAAUAUUUUCAACGAAUCAAGAGAAAAGAUAGGUUUCUCUUUCUAGAUCUUGAUUCCUUUGAUUUUUUUAGCCAUGUAAGAUAAAUUGAUUAUUUAAAAAAUGGUCAAUUUUCCUCUGUGAAUACAUUUUAUUUAUAAAACGUGACAGAGAUGGCAAUCCUUUUUUUUUUUUUUUUUCUGUCUUUUGUCUUUUAGGGCCACACUCACAGCAUAUGGAGGCUAGGCGUGGAAGCGGAGCUGUAGCUGCAGGCCUACACCACAGCCACAGAAGCAAAGGACCCAAGCAGCAUCUACAACAUACACUACAGCUCACAGCAAUGCCAAAUCCUUAAGUCACUGGGUGAGGCCAGGGAUCAAACCUGCAUCCUCAAGGCUGUUUGUCAUAUUCCUUUCUUCUGAGCCACAAUGGGAACUCCUAGAUGGCAAUCUUUAUUGAAAAAUAAAAUUGUCUUAGUUUUGCUGAAAUAUUUAACAAUUUCUCCCUCUUUCAACAUUAUGUCAUAGUGACAAAAUUCCCUAAGUCACAACCAAAAACAUUAAUCCCUCGAAUGCACUAGAAAUUAUAUCUAGAAGAAUAUCUUAUAAUGUGGUUUGAUUUUUUUGCUGCUUGGAAGUUUCCCAUGAGUUUAGAGAUUGAAGGGCCAGACAAACUUGCAAGUAUACUGGGAAGGCAUGCCACUCAAGUAAAAGACUAUCUUUCCCCAAAGAAUAUGCAUAUUCUUACUUUUUUAUAUAUAUUUUUCCUCUGUGUAAUUGCUUGGAUAGAUUGCAGAUGUGUAUACCAAAAAUUAUUAAAUUCGUACAAACUAAUGGCUGGAUUCUUUUGGAAUUGUUUGCUAUUUAGUCAAUUAAAAAACAUAUAUGUAUUUUGGGGGGGAGGGGCUGCACCCACAGCUUGCAGAAUUUCCCUGGCCGGUGAUGGAACCCAUGUCACAGCAGUGACCUGAGUCAUACCAGUGACAACUCCUGCUGAGCCACCAGGGAGGAAUAAAUUAGGAGGUUGGGAUUGACAUGUACACACUGCUAUAUAUAAAAUAAGUAACAAGGACCUACCUUACAGCACUGGGAAAUCUACUCAAUACUGUGUAAUAACCUGGAGUUCCCAUUGCGGCGCAGUGGAGGUGAAUCCAACUAGGAAGCAUGAGGUUGUGGGUUCAAUCC
rnacentral:lncRNA from 1 species